rnacentral:rRNA from 1 species
AGUGAACGCUGGCGGUAGGCCUAACACAUGCAAGUCGAACGGCAGCACAGUAAGAGCUUGCUCUUACGGGUGGCGAGUGGCGGACGGGUGAGGAAUACAUCGGAAUCUACUUUUUCGUGGGGGAUAACGUAGGGAAACUUACGCUAAUACCGCAUACGACCUACGGGUGAAAGCAGGGGAUCUUCGGACCUUGCGCGAUUGAAUGAGCCGAUGUCGGAUUAGCUAGUUGGCGGGGUAAAGGCCCACCAAGGCGACGAUCCGUAGCUGGUCUGAGAGGAUGAGCAGCCACACUGGAGCUGAGACACGGUCCAGACUCCUACGGGAGGCAGCAGUGGGGAAGAUUGGACAAUGGGCGCAAGCCUGAUCCAGCCAUACCGCGUGGGUGAAGAAGGCCUGCGGGUUGUAAAGCCCUUUUGUGGGGAAAGAAAAGCAGCAGGUUAAUACCCCGCUGUGCUGACGGUACCAAAAGAAUAAGCACCGGCUAACUUCGU